CCAUGUUUAUUUAUGCGUAAGAUUUGCUGAUCCCAGUGGUAAUCAUAUUUCUUGAAACCUUUCUUUUCCAGAAUUCAACCAACAUAUUUUGUACUAAGACAUCAAGUUGUUCUAGGUUUCUUUAAGAGUGUUGAGUUCUCAUUUAAUGUGACUGAAGAUACCAGUUUUUUGUUGCUGUGGAAAUGGAUUGAUGAUAUUUUAGUAUACCUGAUUUCUAUCUGUUUGUUACUUU
rnacentral:lncRNA from 1 species